UGGGGAAUAUUGCACAAUGGAGGGAACUCUGAUGCAGCGACGCCGCGUGAGUGAUGAAGGAAUUCGUUUCGUAAAACUCUGUUCUAUGGGAAGAAAAGGACUGUACCAUAGGAGAAAGCUCCGGCUAAAUACGUGCCAGCAGCCGCGGUAAUACGUAUGGAGCGAGCGUUGUCCGGAAUUAUUGGGCGUAAAGGGUGCGCAGGCGGCUUUACAAGUUGGAUGUGAAAUAUUGUGGCUCAACCACAAACGUGCAUCCAAAACUGCAAAGCUUGAGUUAAGGGGAGGUAAGUGGAAUUCCUGGUGUAGCGGUGGAAUGCGUAGAUAUCAGGAGGAAUACCGGUGGCGAAGGCGACUUACUGGACUUAAACUGACGCUCAGGCACGAAAGCGUGGGGAGCAAAAAGG
rnacentral:rRNA from 1 species